rnacentral:rRNA from 1 species
CCUACGGGGGGCAGCAGUGGGGAAUUUUGGACAAUGGGGGCAACCCUGAUCCAGCCAUUCCGCGUGAGUGAAGAAGGCCUUCGGGUUGUAAAGCUCUUUCGCAAGGGAAGAAAACUUACUCAAUAACACUGGGUGAGGCUGACGGUACCUUGAUAAGAAGCACCGGCUAACUACGUGCCAGCAGCCGCGGUAAUACGUAGGGUGCGUGCGUUAAUCGGAAUUACUGGGCGUAGAGCUGGCGCAGACAGGUGAAAUCCCCGGGAUCAACCUGGGAACUGCGUUUGAAACUACAAGGCUAGAGUAUGGAAGAGGGGGGUAGAAUUCCACGUGUAGCAGUGAAAUGCGUAGAGAUGUGGAGGAAUACCAAUGGCGAAGGCAGCCCCCUGGGUCAAUACUGACGCUCAUGCACGAAAGCGUGGGGAGCAAACAGGAUUAGAUACCCUUGUAGUC